ACCUGGCUGGCUCAGUCUGUAGAGCAUGUGACUCUUGAUCUCAGGGUCAUGAGUUCAAGCCCCACGUUGGGCA
rnacentral:tRNA from 1 species